UCUGCAUAUGAAGGUCUUUUAAUGUGAAGCCUGGAGGGAUGAUUGGCUGAAGAGGAAUGUGGAUCAGGAGCUGAUUGGUUGGAGCUGAGAACGUGUUGGAGUAGUUAGACAAAGCCAGAAGUGGAGGUGAGUCUUCCAAGUUGAAUUUUCAUCAAAACUCCAUUUGUCAGAUUAAAGGUAAAAACAUUUAGAAUUUGUAAACAAACACAAUAUCUUCAGAGGGAUAACUGGACUUUUAAUAUAUUUUUAUGUUUGUUCGUGUGUUCUUGCUGUUGUUGGUGAUGUAAAUUUACUUGUAAAAUGUAAAAACACAUUUAAAUUAGGUUUUGAAACAAGAUUCCUUGAUUUACCCCAAUAUUGACUCUACUGCAAUCCUUGUCUUGGACCAUAGAUGGCAUCAAUAAUUAAUUUUAAAAAGGAGCCAACACACUCUUUUUUAAAACAGAUCUGCCUCAUUGGUGUGGACCAUUUUACUCAGAUUCUCUCUGACAGUUAAUCUCUAUUCAAAACAUUGUUUAGACUUAUUAAUAUGUAAUACCAUGAAGCAGAAUCAUGCUAAUGCCAUUCAGCUGCCUUUCUGUACCAAGAGUCAGGUCAAUGAUCAGGAGAGCCAAAUUAACCUGACCCCUCCCUUCUUGGUUCAACUAAAAAGGAGAAGCAACAGUACAUCUGCUUUGUUUUUGUAGAAGUCUUGUUUUAAAACACUGUAUUACUAUGUAUUAUGUAACUCAUGCCUUUAUCGAGCAAAACACGUUCUAAUGUACAGCCAGUUUAAGGAAGUUGAUCUGCUAAAUGCACAAUGCUCAAACAUGGAAGUGCCUCCCAAAUCAAUUCUGCUUAAAGCUCUGCAAAACCUUGGAUAACUGUGGAUAAUGUUCUAGUUUAAAGCAAGUUAAGUGUCACUGACACCUGAUUGCACAACCAGCCAUACCAGUGGAGAGGAAGUGUGCACUUAGACUCUAAGGUACUUUUUCUCAUUUAAUAUUGGACUUAAUCAGCUACAAAUUACUUUAUAUACAUUGUAAACAAACUGGGAGCGCCUUAUUUAAUAUUUAAUUAAUAACUACUAGUAGAUGAAUUAACAGAUAUAUCUAGCAUAUAUUUGUUGUGAGGUAAAACUAGAAAAACAUAAAGUAUUUUAUAAAUUCGUUGAGAAAUCACCGAAAUAGAGGAAAUUGAAAGAUUUUACUCAUUUUAAGCUUUUUUGAUUUUAAUCCAAUUCCUCCCUGAACACCUGAGCACUGCAUUGACAAGAAGUACAGAGAUGGAGCUGCAGGCCGCCAUUUUUUUUAAAGAUCUCAAGUCUUCCCUGGAUGUGAGCAUUUCUGAAAAAGCAGCCAACUCAUCUGCUUGUUCCAGCCGACAUUAAAGGUUCUUAUAACGGAUCAACAUAAGAAGAAACUGAAGCUGUUUCUGGCUGAAUCAGCGUAUUAAGUCAUCAGUUGGUAAAAGGGAUGUUCUGGGAAGAUGGCUGUUCGUGUCUUUCAGUGCCAGAUGUGGACGUGUGUGCUGUAUCAAUAUCUGGACAGAACCAAUUUUAUUCAGUAGGACUUGUAUUUGUGAAACUGUGUGUAGCCACACCCACGAUGCUGUAACAUGAGUGUUUUUUUUUCCUUUCUUUAAUAAAAGACUGUGACACACUCAGCUCCUCUUGGAGAACGGACUGUCUCUCCCUGGCCAGCCAAAGAUAACUUUGACUCGCUUGUGUCUUCAUUGCAUACCUUCUCUGAGUUUAUCAGUGUGUCUAACUCUGACACUAUUUUAGCACAAAUUAAGCUGAAAGUAGUAGUAAUACGAAACUGAAGAAUUGCAGUGAAAAUUUGCUGAAAUAAACCAAAAAUGUUGAGUUAAAGUAAACUGUUUUACACAAUUAAUCCUUCUAGUUGUUAUUAAAAUGUUAGCAAUCGUUGAUGAUAUACCCCAGAAUAUUUCUAUUGUGUCCAGAUUUUAAAUGAAUGCAAAUUGAAUUAAAUUUAUAUUGAAAUAUG